rnacentral:rRNA from 1 species
UACGUAGGGGGCAAGCGUUAUCCGGAUUCACUGGGUGUAAAGGGAGCGUAGACGGCCAUGCAAGCCUGGAGUGAAAGCCCGGGGCCAACCCCGGGACUGCUCUGGGAACUGUGCGGCUGGAGUGCGGGAGGGGCAGGCGGAAUUCCUGGUGUAGCGGUGAAAUGCGUAGAUAUCAGGAGGAACACCGGCGGCGAAGGCGGCCUGCUGGACCGCGACUGACGUUGAGGCUCGAAAGCGUGGGGAGCAAACAGG